AGGGUUGUGGCUCAGUGGUAGAGUGCUUGCCUAGUAUGUGUGAGGCACUGGGUUCGAUCCCCGGCACCACAU
rfam:Ictidomys tridecemlineatus contig062759, whole genome shotgun sequence.